UAAUUUUUAGCAUAUAUAUAUACUGCUAUACAAUUAUAUAAUACCGAAUAAUAAAAAGCCUAACCCUAACGCAAACCCUUCCUGCGCUGCGCAGCUUCUUCUUCGAUCUUCUUCGGUUCUUCAGUCUUCCUCAUAUUUCAGGUAAGCUUCCUCAUAUUGUCAUAUGUUCCUGGAAGAUGAUUCAACUUUUGCUGCUCAAAGCUUGUUCAACAGAAAGGGUAUGGCUUUAGCUGUGCAGUAUUUGGGGAAAUUGGCUGUGUUGUGCAGCCAAAUCUUGUAAAGCUCUGCACUUUAUAUGUGUGUUUGUGCGCUCACACUGCACACUUGAGAAAUAUGCCUUAUUUUCUGUAUUUCCUUUUAGGGGAAGGAAUUGAUGUUUCUUUAUUUUCAUCUAGUUUCGUAUNNNN
rnacentral:lncRNA from 1 species